GCAUAGGAAUCUGCCCGGUAGUGGGGGAUAACUUGAGGAAACUCAAGCUAAUACCGCAUACGCCCUACGGGGGAAAGCAGGGGCUCUUCGGACCUUGCGCUAUCGGAUGAGCUUAUGUCGGAUUAGCUAGUUGGUGAGGUAACGGCUUACCAAGGCGACGAUCCGUAGCUGGUCUGAGAGGAUGAUCAGCCACAUCGGGACUGAGACACGGCCCGAACUCCUACGGGAGGCAGCAGUGGGGAAUAUUGGACAAUGGGCGAAAGCCUGAUCCAGCCAUGCCGCGUGUGUGAAGAAGGCCCUCGGGUUGUAAAGCACUUUCAGUGAGGAAGAAGGCUUGUCGGUUAAUACCCGGCAGGAAGGACAUCACCCACAGCGGG
rnacentral:rRNA from 1 species